AGAUUGCAGGCUGCAACCCGCCCUGCAUGAAGUCGGAAUUGCUAGUAAUCGCGGAUCAGCAUGCCGCGGUGAAUACGUUCCCGGGCCUUGUACACACCGCCCGUCACACCAUGGGAGCCGGUAAUACCCGAAGUCAGUAGUCCAACCACGUGAGGACGCUGCCGAAGGUAGGAUUGGCGACUGGGGUGAAGUCGUAACAAGGUAAC
rnacentral:rRNA from 1 species